CCUACCCCGCCGCGGGCGGGGGCGGCAGCCGCGGCCCGGCCCCACGGCACCUGGUCCGGGGCAGCCGCGGCGCUGCGGGCGGCGGGGCCGAGGGGCGCGGGGUCGGCGGGUACCCCGCGGGCGAGGCCGGGGCAGUGGGCGGCAGAGUGGCCCCGCCGGCGGGCACUGCUCUCCCACCGGGCCGAGCCGGGUAGCUCCGCCACGGCGCAGGAUUUCAGUCACCUCAGACAUCCAGGCUGACGGCUCCAGGAUAAGCCUGUCCCCGUCCCACCCCGCUGCACGCCCUGGCCGGCCGGAGGAGUUUGUCCGCAACGAAAGAAAAAGGCACACACAGCCCUGGGAACUACCAGUCAGCACCUCACCCCGGAGUGAGGCCCUCAGUUUUUGUCCAUUCUCCACCCUAUCCCACACUGUCAGGUCCUUCAACAAAUCCAGAAAACGAAGGAGAUUAGGGACACAGUAGCGGAGCCAAUGGCACCCUCGAGAUCUGUCCUGGAAAACAGCGUUGGACUUUGUACACUUUUCAGUUUUAUUUUGAGAUAUCAGAAAGGUUUUGAAAACUUUUUUCCACUUCAAAAGUAGCCAUUUUUUCAUUUUGAGUGUACCAGCAAAUAUUAACUACCCAGAAAGAGUCUAUGAAUUACUCCACUCAUCAAAGUUAUGUCAUUAUUAAAAUCAAGAGGACAACAGCAAAGAGACUGAGUAUACAAGGGCAAACCCAGAUAGGGCAUGAAAACUUUGCCACAUGUUCUUUUUGUUUGUGAGCAGUGGCCAUUGUGGCUAAUAAGUGUUAUUUGUGACAAAUUUUUGCAAAACAAACCUUCAAAUUAGAGUGCAAAGAACAUACCAUAUGCAAGUGAAUACAGUCUUCAUAAACCCCAGGAAUUGUGACACUUUUGAAAUAUCUAAAGUAAUUAAAAACUGGGUUGUCAUUAUUUAUUUUAGAAAGGAAACUCAGAGCCAAUAAGGAAUGUUUUGAAGCCCAACUCUUUCCUUAAGCUUUCUAAUAAACAACUUUGCCCUGAAGAGCUGACUUGUUGUUUGCUCUCAUAAGCACUUGAACUAUUAGCCUUUUUGUUGUACAUGAGUCAAGAUACAAGUUUCCUGGAGCAGCAGCCUUAUCGUUCAUGUGUUUGCAAAGUGGUAGGCAUAUGCAGAGUGCAUUAUAAGUAAAAAAAUUGAGAGGAUAUGCUGGUACUCCCAAGUGCAAUACAGUUACACACCUGAUCCCACAUGCUGGCAGAAUGGACUGAUCUUCACAUGCUUUCUGUCGAGCAGAUAGGAUGAUCUUAGAUAUCACAGUUUUCAAAUAUAUGUAAUACACACAUACAGCCUUCAAUACAUAAUAAGCUUCUGUGAUUUUGAUGGCAUUUUGUAUUAAGCUUAUGUAUUCAAAUAUUAAUAAUUUAUUUGACUGUGACAAUAUUUGGAGACAUGUUGGAGUAAUUACCUGACUAAUGCAUAUGUGAAGCAGUGCUUUCUUUGAAAUGAGUUGGGAGCCAUAGAGGGAAUAAAUCAAGGCUCAGAGUUGAAAUGGCAUGGACAUGGAGAGCUGGAGUCGUAUCCCCAUUGGUAUGCUGAAUUUCUGACUGGUAACUACAUUUCAGCUCUGGACCCCGAGGACAUCCCCAGUGAGUACAAUUUUACUAAGCCCUUUAAACAGCCCUGUAGUUUUUAAUUACAACUUCAUGCUGCUGAAGAACAGCAAAAUUACGGCUGUGACUAGAUAGCAAAUAGGGCAUGACAAAUGUUAAAAGGUGUAGUGUGUGAUACCUAAUAGCUAGUGAAACCUAAUAUUCAACAGUAUCUAAAACCAUCAGAAACUUAACAAAUUCUGGUCAAAACUAGACAAAUUGUAAUUUAAUGUAUGUUGCUCAUUAGAGAAAAAAGGCUGUGAAUUGAUUCAA